rnacentral:tRNA from 1 species
GGUUUGUGGCUCAGUGGUAGAGCGCUUGUCUGGCAGAUGUGAGGCACUGGGUUCGAUUCUCAGCACCA